AUCUCCUGUUUCUGCCCCAAAUUCAUUUACGUUUCCUUAGAAUUAUGGGUUCUGGUGAUGGAGAAGAUCAAGCCAUAGAACGGGCACUCACGACUUUUGAUACAUCCUGUGAGUGUCUUUUCUGUGGAUCGUGUGGAUUAUCUGAUUCCGUUGUGUGGUUGAAUUACGAACUUUUGUAAUGAAACCUGAUCGAUGCCACUAUAUUU
rnacentral:snoRNA from 1 species